GUAUGCGUAGAAGUGUUUGGCGUGAGACUGCAUGGAGCCAUCAUUGGCACAGAUCUUGGUGGUAGUAGCAAAUAAUCGAAUGAGACCUUGGAGGACUGAAGUGGAGAAGGGUUUCGUGUGAACAGUGGUUGAUCACGAGUUAGUCGGUCCUAAGUUCAAGGCGAAAGCCGAAAAUUUACAUGUUAUUUUUAUACAUAAAACAAAUUCAAAAAAAAUUUGCAAUGAAAAUUUAUAUACAUGAUAAUUUGAACGAAAGGGAAUACGGUUCCAAUUCCGUAACCUGUUGAGUAUACGUUUGUUAUUAAAUAUGGGUAUUUAUACUCAUCCUGGUAACAGGAACAACCAUAGAGAAGCCGUCGAGAGGUAUUGGAAGAGUUUUCUUUUCUGUUUUAUAGCCGUAUUACCAUGGAAGUCUUUAGAAGAGAGAUAUGGUAAAUGGGCUAGAAGAGCAUGGCAUUUACUGCUGUGUCAAUACUUUCUCCUCGGACCUUGAAAAUCUAUGGUGGGGUCACGCAAACUUCUCAACAGGCCGUACCGAUAUCCGCAGCUGGU
rnacentral:rRNA from 1 species